rnacentral:rRNA from 1 species
UCGAGGAUCUUCGGCAAUGGGCGCAAGCCUGACCGAGCGACGCCGCGUGUGCGAUGAAGGCCUUCGGGUUGUAAAGCACUGUCGAGGGGGAGAAAAGCGCAAGCUUGAUCUAUCCCUGGAGGAAGCACGGGCUAAGUUCGUGCCAGCAGCCGCGGUAAGACGAACCGUGCGAACGUUGUUCGGAAUCACUGGGCUUAAAGGGCGCGUAGGCGGGCUACCAAGUCUGUGGUGAAAUCCCCCGGCUCAACCGGGGAACGGCCGUGGAUACUGGGAGCCUCGAGGGAGAUAGGGGCAGGCGGAACUGAUGGUGGAGCGGUGAAAUGCGUUGAUAUCAUCAGGAACUCCGGUGGCGAAGGCGGCCUGCUGGAUCUCAUCUGACGCUGAUGCGCGAAAGCCAGGGGAGCAAACGG